rnacentral:rRNA from 1 species
UACGUAGGGACCAAGCGUUGUCCGGAAUUAUUGGGCCUAAAGCAUCCGUAGCCGGUACUGCAAGUCUUCCGUUAAAUCCACCUGCUCAACAGUUGGGCUGCGGAGGAUACUACAGCGCUAGGAGGCGGGAGAGGCAAGCGGUACUCAUUGGGUAGGGGUAAAAUCCACUGAUCCAUUGAAGACCACCAGUGGCGAAGGCGGCUUGCCAGAACGCGCUCGACGGUGAGGGAUGAAAGCUGGGGGAGCAAACCGG